ACAGCUUGAAGGCCGCGAGGCUCACCACACACAGGAUGUUCGCCGCAUCCGUUCUUGUGAGCGGGUUAAGGUCUGAGUAUUCAAGUCUCCCUAGAUCGACUCUUGCAGGGUCUAGCCUUAAUCAUGCUAAGCAGCACACCAGAAAUGCAGUCGCCAUCUCACUGAUCCAAAGAUCCUCUUCGGAGGGGAGGGCACGAGGUUGCGCGACUUUUGGAUAUGCUGUGGGGACUGGGCGGGGUUUUUUGUAAUACUUACAGCUGAUGCCUACGAGUGCAUGCAUCUCUGGUCUAUCGCUUGUCCGUAUGCCGCGCUGAGGCGUAAAAGUCGGUCUGUUUACUUGCUAUGGAGGCUAUUAUUUUCAAUAUUCUGUCAUCGUGACGUCUAGCUAACGUCCACGGUGCAGGACCGAACUUAUAGCCUUGUCGGCAUGCAACAGCUUCUGGAGACAGAAGUGACUUCUCUUCGGGCUAGUAUGAGGAAUCUAUGUGCAUGUAGUCCGGUGUUAGGACCUCCGCUCUUCAGUUCACUUCGCGGUUCGUGAUAUUCACGGAACUCGAUUCAGACUACUCUUUGACUGU
rnacentral:RNase_P_RNA from 2 species